GGCCUGUUGUUGGGGAGGGAUCGUGGAACAAUGAGGGAGGGGAGGACAAUCAGCGAGUAUAGAGCUGGGGAGAAUAGAUGUGAUAGAAGCAAGAAGGAGACGGGAGGACUGCAGAGGCGAUGGCCUCAUCCUAUCUUGCCUUGGCAAUUAUAUCAUCUGUUUGAGCUGAUUGGAGCAGGCUGCCAAGUCCAGCCGGGCUUCAACACAGACGGAGCGUCCUAAACUUUUUCUCUGUGUUCACAAAAUGAUCACACGAUGCCAAGGGGCAAGAUCUCAACUCCCACUGUAAGCGCAUAGCCGGGCCGUCCAGCCCGCUGCCAUAACAACACCACAGCCUCUGUGUCAUGGUAACGCCACGGAGUCAUCGCAGAGCGCAGAAGGAGGGGAGUGUUGGGGAGGAGCGACGGCAGAGUCUGAAGAGUCGAGACGUUUCAGCCCCUCUGAACUUGAACUUGACUGUCAUAAUGAACGACCGGCGGGUUGAAAUGGAAAUUCACUCCUGGGAAAAUUUUGCUUCAAAUGACUCGUUUUUUAAAUGUUAUUAAUUUGAAUUCUUGUUUUUAAUUCGUGAAUGAGGAACUGUUUGUGGUUUGGUUAGUUUAAUCUGACAAAGUUUAGAUGACCGUGGAUGUUAUUUUUUGUGAUUUAUCAAAUACAAAGAAAAUAAUUUCUGGACAAAAGCUGCAGUUAUAACUACAGUCAACCACUGCAGAAACAGCGAAGACAGAAUAAAAUAAGUCAAAACCUC